UCGGUAUGAUUGUAUUUUUUUUUUCUAAAUUAAUCACGUUACAUACACACCAUCCUCUCCUGAUUUGUGAAGUGAUUUUAUUUAAAGUGUAAAAAGUCAAGAUUAUUUAUUUAUUAUCAGUUAUUCUAUGCAAUGGGAAGCUCUACGUAAAAGAAGUUGUGUUCAGGAUUGUGAAAGAAAAAGGGUUUUAGAAUUUGAAAGAUACUCGACAAUGGACAAUGUCUACGGAUGUCUUGUUCGUCAGAAGAUUAGCUUUGAAAUUUGCAAGGUGAUCAAAGGAUGAUAUGACAGACAGUGCUAAGGCCAAAGCUAUCAGUCAUAUAAACACAUUACAAG